rnacentral:rRNA from 1 species
AACUUUCAACAACGGAUCUCUAGGCUCUUGCAUCGAUGAAGAACGCAGUAAAAUGCGAUAAGUAAUGUGAAUUGCAGAUCUCGUGAAUCAUCGAAUCUUUGAACGCACAUUGCGCCCUAUAGAAUUCUGUAGGGCAUGCCUGUCUGAGCAUCA